rnacentral:rRNA from 1 species
AGAGUUUGAUCCUGGCUCAGGAUGAACGCUGGCGGCGUGCUUAACACAUGCAAGUCGAACGGUGAAGCCAAGCUUGCUUGGUGGAUCAGUGGCGAACGGGUGAGUAACACGUGAGCAACCUGCCCUGAACUCUGGGAUAAGCGCUGGAAACGGCGUCUAAUACUGGAUAUGAGCUGCGGAGGCAUCUUCGUGGUUGGAAAGAUUUUUCGGUUUGGGAUGGGCUCGCGGCCUAUCAGCUUGUUGGUGAGGUAAUGGCUCACCAAGGCGUCGACGGGUAGCCGGCCUGAGAGGGUGACCGGCCACACUGGGACUGAGACACGGCCCAGACUCCUACGGGAGGCAGCAGUGGGGAAUAUUGCACAAUGGGCGGAAGCCUGAUGCAGCAACGCCGCGUGAGGGAUGACGGCCUUCGGGUUGUAAACCUCUUUUAGCAGGGAAGAAGCGAAAGUGACGGUACCUGCAGAAAAAGCGCCGGCUAACUACGUGCCAGCAGCCGCGGUAAUACGUAGGGCGCAAGCGUUAUCCGGAAUUAUUGGGCGUAAAGAGCUCGUAGGCGGUUUGUCGCGUCUGCUGUGAAAACCCGAGGCUCAACCUCGGGCCUGCAGUGGGUACGGGCAGACUAGAGUGCGGUAGGGGAGAUUGGAAUUCCUGGUGUAGCGGUGGAAUGCGCAGAUAUCAGGAGGAACACCGAUGGCGAAGGCAGAUCUCUGGGCCGUAACUGACGCUGAGGAGCGAAAGGGUGGGGAGCAAACAGGCUUAGAUACCCUGGUAGUCCACCCCGUAAACGUUGGGAACUAGUUGUGGGGUCCAUUCCACGGAUUCCGUGACGCAGCUAACGCAUUAAGUUCCCCGCCUGGGGAGUACGGCCGCAAGGCUAAAACUCAAAGGAAUUGACGGGGACCCGCACAAGCGGCGGAGCAUGCGGAUUAAUUCGAUGCAACGCGAAGAACCUUACCAAGGCUUGACAUACACGAGAACGCUGCAGAAAUGUAGAACUCUUUGGACACUCGUGAACAGGUGGUGCAUGGUUGUCGUCAGCUCGUGUCGUGAGAUGUUGGGUUAAGUCCCGCAAAAAGAGCAACCCUCGUUCUAUGUUGCCAGCACGUAAUGGUGGGAACUCAUGGGAUACUGCCGGGGUCAACUCGGAGGAAGGUGGGGAUGACGUCAAAUCAUCAUGCCCCUUAUGUCUUGGGCUUCACGCAUGCUACAAUGGCCGGUACAAAGGGCUGCAAUACCGCGAGGUGGAGCGAAUCCCAAAAAGCCGGUCCCAGUUCGGAUUGAGGUCUGCAACUCGACCUCAUGAAGUCGGAGUCGCUAGUAAUCGCAGAUCAGCAACGCUGCGGUGAAUACGUUCCCGGGUCUUGUACACACCGCCCGUCAAGUCAUGAAAGUCGGUAACACCUGAAGCCGGUGGCCCAACCCUUGUGGAGGGAGCCGUCGAAGGUGGGAUCGGUAAUUAGGACUAAGUCGUAACAAGGUAGCCGUA